UGUGUCGUGCCAUCUAAGAUUUGUUUUCUUGACAUAUCCUCGUAGUACUCGUCGUUACGGACGCGUGGGCGCAGACGGUUCGUGAUUUGGAGUUAUAUCGAAGAAGUUAUUAACGUUUGAAAUUUGGAAUUUUAAGGAAUUAUAAUUUUAGUAAAAUAUAGAAAUUCUUUUAUGAAAUUGGACGGCCCAGAUUUAUUGAUGAAUGAAAUGGAUGGCUGGGAUGAGGGAAAGGUUUUUGGUGUGUGUAUGUGUAUGAGAAGAAGAAACAGAAAACAGAAAAGAAGAAGAGACUGGGCAGAAAUGCCCAAUCGGAGAAGAAGAAGAUGAGAGCGAACCAGAAGAAGGGAGAGGAAGAAGCUGACCAAUCAGGGGAAGGAAAGGAGGGAAAGGAGGGAGAGUGGUGCAUGGGGGAACAGGAGAAACGGGUCGUCCUUGACCCGUGCGGUCGCGCGACCCGCGACUUCCAAUCGGCGGGUUUUCGCCAUUUUCGUCCAAAUUUCCGACGAAUUGAGUCAAGGUACCACUCCUAAUCAUCAUCUAGGCCUUCCCUCUUCACGUUUCACCCCAAGAAUCAUUGAAUUUCGUUGUGAUUUCGCGAAGAACACCCCUACGGGUGCCGCGACCCUUUUUGUUUAAAUUCUCCAAAUUUUGAAAUGUUUUCUUUCAAUUACUAACACAUUUAGCAUUCCUUUAGGACCUAGAACAAAGCCCAAGAGGUAAUUGAGGCGUUGGAACAAGUUUGAAGGUCGAAUUGGAAACACCCAAAUUCUAGGGUUCUUCACGGUUUUUGGUGAAAUUGAAG
rnacentral:lncRNA from 1 species